UACAGAGGUGGCAAGCGUUAAUCGGAUUUACUGGGCGUAAAGGGUCCGCAGGCGGUUUAAUGUGUCGGAUGUGAAAUGCCAGGGCUCAACCUUGGAACUGCAUUCGAAACUAUUAGACUAGAGUAUUGGAGGGGAGAAGGGAACAGUUCGUGUAGCGGUGAAAUGCGUAGAUAUGAACUGGAACACCGGUGGCGAAGGCGCUUCUCUGGACAAAUACUGACGCUCAUGGACGAAAGCUAGGGUAGCGAAAGGG
rnacentral:rRNA from 1 species